rnacentral:rRNA from 1 species
AUCAAUAAGCGGAGGAAAAGAAACUAACAAGGAUUCCCCUAGUAACGGCGAGUGAAGCGGGAAGAGCUCAAAUUUGAAAUCUGGCGUACUCCGUGCGUCCGAGUUGUAAUCUAUAGAAGCGUUUUCUGUGCCGGUCCGUGUCCAAGUCCCUUGGAACAGGGUAUCAAAGAGGGUGACAAUCCCGUGCUUGACAUGACCGCCGGUGCUCUGUGAUACGUUUUCUACGAGUCGAGUUGUUUGGGAAUGCAGCUCAAAAUGGGUGGUAAAUUCCAUCUAAAGCUAAAUAUAGGCGAGAGACCGAUAGCGAACAAGUACCGUGAGGGAAAGAUGAAAAGCACUUUGGAAAGAGAGUUAAACAGUACGUGAAAUUGUUGAAAGGGAAACGAUUGGAGUCAGUCGUGUUUGGGUGGUUCAGCUGGUUCUGCCAGUGUAUUCCACCUAAACGGGUCAACAUCAGUUUGGACCGAUGGAAAAAGGCACUAGGAAGGUGGCACCUCCGGGUGUGUUAUAGCCUAGCGUCGCAUACAUCGGUCCGGACUGAGGUCUGCAGCUCGCCUUUUGGCCGGCCUUCGGGCACGUUCGAGCUUAGGAUGUUGACAUAAUGGCUCUAAACGACCCGUCUUGAAACACGGACCAAGGAGUCUAACAUAUCUGCGAGUGUUUG